rnacentral:rRNA from 1 species
AUUGAACGCUGGCGGCAGGCCUAACACAUGCAAGUCGAAUGGUAACAGGAAACAGCUUGCUGUUUCGCUGACGAGUGGCGGACGGGUGAGUAAUGUCUGGGAAACUGCCUGAUGGAGGGGGAUAACUACUGGAAACGGUAGCUAAUACCGCAUAACGUCGCAAGACCAAAGAGGGGGACCUUCGGGCCUCUUGCCAUCCGAUGUGCCCAGAUGGGAUUAGCGAGUAGGUGGGGUAACGGCUCACCUAGGCGACGAUCCCUAGCUGGUCCGAGAGGAUGACCAGCCACACUGGAACGGAGACACGGUCCAGACUCCUACGGGAGGCAGCAGUGGGGAAUAUUGCACAAUGGGCGCAAGCCUGAUGCAGCCAUGCCGCGUGUAUGAAGAAGGCCUUCGGGUUGUAAAGUACUUUCAGCGGGGAGGAAGGGAGUAAAGUUAAUACCUUUGCUCAUUGACGUUACCCGCAGAAGAAGCACCGGCUAACUACGUG